rnacentral:lncRNA from 1 species
UCCAAUAUACUAACACACACCAAAACCAAAAUAAAACCUGGUUUCCUACAAAGAAAUUAAUAAACUUAGCUGAGAUAAUAAGUGACUUUGCUUCUCUGACAACUCGGUCCAACACAUAAGCAGAGUACUCUGUUUUCACAACAGAGCCUUUCAGUUGUGCAGUUGCUCUUCUUGUGUUUUGUUUUUUCUUCCAAAUUCUGGAGUUUCACUUACCUGGACUAGAAAAUCAGAAAACCAUAAUGGGAGCUUGUACAAAACUGUUCUACUUCUAUUAAUUUAAAACACACAUGAGUUGAUUUUUUGAUAGAGUUAUUUUAAUGUUUUGUAACUUGCUUCACGCUUCUAUCUAUACUUCUAUUGACCUUUUCAACAGAUCAGGAAAAGUACUUAAAACACUUUUCCUAAAAGAGAAGAUUGAUCAGAUUAAGGUUAAAGAAAACAGAAUUAUGAGGACAAAGACUUACAACUUCCAGUGUAUUAUAGCAUCUG